rnacentral:rRNA from 1 species
UACGUAGGGUGCGAGCGUUGUCCGGAAUUAUUGGGCGUAAAGAGCUUGUAGGUGGUUUGUCGCGUCUGCUGUGAAAAUCCGAGGCUCAACCUCGGACUUGCAGUGGGUACGGGCAGACUAGAGUGUGGUAGGGGAGACUGGAAUUCCUGGUGUAGCGGUGGAAGGCGCAGAUAUCAGGAGGAACACCGAUGGCGAAGGCAGGUCUCUGGGCCAUUACUGACACUGAGGAGCGAAAGCGUGGGGAGCGAACAGG